GACGAACGCUGGCGGCGUGCCUAAUACAUGCAAGUAGAACGCUGAAGAGAGGAGCUUACUCUUCUUGGAUGAGUUGCGAACGGGUGAGUAACGCGUAGGUAACCUGCCUUGUAGCGGGGGAUAACUAUUGGAAACGAUAGCUAAUACCGCAUAACAAUGGAUGACACAUGUCAUUUAUUUGAAAGGGGCAAUUGCUCCACUACAAGAUGGACCUGCGUUGUAUUAGCUAGUAGGUGAGGUAAUGGCUCACCUAGGCGACGAUACAUAGCCGACCUGAGAGGGUGAUCGGCCACACUGGGACUGAGACACGGCCCAGACUCCUACGGGAGGCAGCAGUAGGGAAUCUUCGGCAAUAGGGGCAACCCUGACCGAGCAACGCCGAGUGAGUGAAGAAGGUUUUCGGAUCGUAAAGCUCUGUUGUAAGUCAAGAACGGGUGUGAGAGUGGAAAGUUCACACUGUGACGGUAGCUUACCAGAAAGGGACGGCUAACUACGUG
rnacentral:rRNA from 1 species